UACAGAGGGGGCAAGCGUUGUUCGGAAUUACUGGGCGUAAAGGGCGCGUAGGCGGCCUUCUAAGUCGGACGUGAAAUCCCUCGGCUUAACCGAGGAACUGCGUCCGAUACUGAAAGGCUUGAAUCCGGGAGAGGGAUGUGGAAUUCCAGGUGUAGCGGUGAAAUGCGCAGAUAUCAGGAGGAACACCGAUGGCGAAGGCAGCUUGCUGGGACGGUACUGACGCUGAGACGCGAAAGCGUGGGGAGCAAACAGG
rnacentral:rRNA from 1 species